GCCGGGUGUGGUGGUGUGCACCUGUAGUCCCAGCUACUUGGGAGGCUGAGGCAGGAGAAUUGCUUGAACCCGGGAGGUGGAGUUUGCAGUGAGUCGAGAUUGCACCACUGAGCUCCAGCCUGGGCGACAGAGCAAGACUCCGUCUCCA
ensembl:misc_RNA Metazoa_SRP Metazoan signal recognition particle RNA